rnacentral:snRNA from 1 species
GUGCUUGCUUCAGCAGCACAUAUACUAAAAUUGGAACAACACAGAGAAGAUUAGCAUGGCCACUGCACAAAGAUGACAUGCAAAUCCGAAAGCAUUCCAUGUUUUUU